CUGAGCGACUCAAAUGUUAAGUACGUCAGGGUCUUGCUAGCUGGAGAAGUUGGAGCAGGAAAGUCCAGCUUCAUCAACUCAAUCAAUAGUGUUUUUCAAGGAAGGAUCACAACAGAAGCCCUUGCUAACUCUGUGUCUGGCAGAAGUUUUACAAAAACAUACAGAACUUAUUACAUAAGAGAUGGACAAUCAGUUCUGCCUUUUGUCUUCAAUGACAUCAUGGGCUUAGAAUCCGGAGAUUCACAGGGAGCUCAUCCAGAAGACAUCGCCAAAUCCCUCGAGGGCCUCCUUAAGGAAGGACACAAUUUCAAUCCAGCCGUUCCUGCUAACAAAGAGGACUACAGAAGUAAUACAAGCCCUGAGGAUCAGACAUACUGCCUGGUCUACGUCAUAGCAGCUGACAAGGUAUCAAUGAUGAAUAAAGAUGUCUUUGAAAAGAUUAAAGAUAUUAGACAGAAGGCCAGCACACUGGGUGAGUAAAACAGCAACACAUUAAAAUAGUCUUUUAAAAUCUCCACAUGAU
rnacentral:lncRNA from 1 species